rnacentral:sRNA from 1 species
GCCAGGCAUGGUGGCACAUGCCUAUAAUCUCAACAGCUCAGAGGCUGAGGUAGGUGGAUUGUGAGUUUGAAGCCAGCCUCCGGAAUUUAGCAAGACCUUGUCUCAA